rnacentral:rRNA from 1 species
UACGUAGGGGGCGAGCGUUGUCCGGAUUUAUUGGGCGUAAAGAGCGUGUAGGCGGCCAGGUAGGUCUGCUGUGAAAACUCGAGGCUCAACCUCGAGACGUCGGCGGAAACCAUCUGGCUAGAGUCCGGAAGAGGAGAGUGGAAUUCCUGGUGUAGCGGUGAAAUGCGCAGAUAUCAGGAAGAACACCCGUGGCGAAGGCGGCUCUCUGGGACGGUACUGACGCUGAGACGCGAAAGCGUGGGUAGCGAAUGGG